CAAAAAAAUAACACUCUAAUAGUUAUAAAUUUUAAAAACACAGUGUUGUAUGAGAAAUUGCCAUUUUUAACCACUAGAUGGCAGCGGAAGAUCACUAAUGGGCUCAUUCAACUAACUUAAACAGUACUGUUCAAAGGUUUUAUGGAUUCAUGUCAAAACAUUUUAAAACCACUGUUAUAACAUUUAAAAUCUCAUUGAGUCAAAGUUUGUCAGCCAUACAUCCAGGUUGGCCGAGACCACCCCAAAGGUCUUAAAGUGCUUGAACCCCGGUAAUCGCUGCUUGCAGCUAUAUUUAUUAUUAUUAUUCUUCCGCCUUAAAACUGAACGGGCAGCCCAAACCGUAAGGCCUAGAGAGCUGAAACUUGGUCAAAAGGUAGUAGUCUUGCUCGCUACUCAGGCGCAAAGAACCGGCCCAAUCGGCCUAACGGGGGCGCUACAGCGCAAAAUACAAAAAUUUCAGACAUUUUUGGCCCGCAGUCGUAAACCGUUUGACGUAGACUCAAAAACUUUACAUCAUUGUAAUCCUUGGGUCAGUCCGAACAAAAGUGGAGUCCGAAAUUUUUGCUCUACGACGCACGGUUUUUCCGCAAAAUUGACCUAUAGCCCAAACCUACUUUUGCGAACUAGUCCUAGGUUUUUCACCCGAUCAGAACCAAACCACUGCAGAAAUAUUCUCUGGACACUCAUUAUCAAUAAUUAUCAAAAAAAAG
ensembl:lncRNA